GGACUACUCGGGUAUCUAAUCCUGUUUGCUCCCCACGCUUUCGCGCCUCAGCGUCAGUAUCGGGCCAGUGAGUCGCCUUCGCCACUGGUGUUCUUCCGAAUAUCUACGAAUUUCACCUCUACACUCGGAGUUCCACUCACCUCUCCCGAACUCAAGAUACCCAGUAUCGAAGGCAAUUCCAGGGUUGAGCCCUGGGCUUUCACCCCCGACUUAAGUAUCCGCCUACGCGCCCUUUACGCCCAGUAAUUCCGAGCAACGCUAGCCCCCUUCGUAUUACCGCGGCUGCUGGCAC
rnacentral:rRNA from 1 species